CGAUGGCAUCGAUUAAGGGUUCACCUUGGAGAGAGCCCGCCUCCGGAGGGAGUCGUUCUUCCCUAACCUCUGCUCUCCUCCUGGACUCGCCCUCCCUGUGAUGGAGAGUUUUCCGGUCCUCGUCGAUGGCUCUGUACUUCUCCCUGAUCUCCGCGAUCUUUCGUGAAAUCUUCCAGCUCAGGAGCCAAACCGGGUUGACAGAUACGGAGUGCCAGGGCCGCUUUCUCUUCCGAGAGCGGCCUCCGUCGCCGGCGCCGGCCGCGGAAGCUUGGAGCUUGGAGACGUUGACCCGGGUCUGGAACUCGUCGAAGAGGUCCUCGGCGUCGAAGGCGAUGUCUUUGAGCUCGGAGAGCCAGAGGCGGACGUUGCCGUCCUCG
rnacentral:lncRNA from 1 species